UACGAAGGGGGCUAGCGUUGCUCGGAUUGACUGGGCGUAAAGAGCUCGUAGGCGGUGUGUCACGUCGGCCGUGAAAACCUGGGGCUUAACUCUGGGCGUGCGGUCGAUACGGGCAUCACUAGAGUUCGGCAGGGGAGACUGGAAUUCCUGGUGUAGCGGUGAAAUGCGCAGAUAAUCAGGAGGAACACCGGUGGCGAAGGCGGGUCUCUGGGCCGAUACUGACGCUGGAGGAGCGAAAGCA
rnacentral:rRNA from 1 species